GAACAGAAACAGAGCAAGUCCAGCCACUGAAACAGCAAUGUAAGCUAAAGACCGUGGGAAUGCAGCAGUUGCCACAGAAGCAGAGCCCUUAGGCCAACCGGACUUCAUUGCCAUUUCCACCCAAAUCAAGAAGGAAAGUUCAACAUAACACGUAACAUACCCCCAAUUUUGAUCCGAAAGCGACCCAACAACCAACCCUAACUAAAUAAAUCCCUAAUUUCUUGGAUCUUCAAUUAAAACGUUUUCAAUAAACGGAAGAACGAGAUUCGGCAGAUUCUCUCCCGGUUCUUGGCCUGAAAAAAGAAACAAUUCAUGCAUUUAACAAAAAAACAAAAACCCUAUCCCUAAAAUUCGUCAUAUCUCUUUCAACACCAUCAAAUUCAAAACCGAGUGUGAAAAAAGCUCUGACCUUUAUAUUAAGAUUUAGCU
rnacentral:lncRNA from 1 species